GGGCCGGUAGAGGGCGCGGCGAGGCGGGGACCGGACCGGGCGCGGGGACCGGGCGGCGUGCACUCUCCGCAGCCGCUCAGAUGGCGGCGCAGGGCGCGGGACCGGGGCCGGGGGCGCCCCCGGGGCUGGAGGCGGUUCUGCAGAAGCUGGCGCUGCGGCGGAAGAAGGUGCUGAGUGCCGAGGAGAUGGAGUUGUUCGAGCUGGCGCAGGCGGCGGGCGGUGCCAUGGACCCCGACGUGUUCAAGAUCCUGGUGGACCUGCUCAAGCUGAACGUGGCGCCCCUCGCCGUCUUCCAGAUGCUCAAGUCCAUGUGCGCCGGGCAGAGGCUGACGAGUGAGCCCCAGGACCCCGCGGCCGUGCCCCUGUCCGCGUCCAGCGUGCCCGAGACCCGAGAGGCCUCCUUUCUCUCUGCCAAGAACUGUACCCCCCCUGCAAGGCCCUCCUUUUCCUCGGCCCCACAGCCUGCGGCCUCUCCGGUCCUGCUCCGCGGCCCAGCUGCCACGCACUCACCUCUCUCUCCAGGGCCCCCCGGUUCCCUCCGGUUCUCUUGCUGCCUGUUCUCUCCUUUUGCAGGUUGCGUUUAUUAGUUUAUCUCUGGGGGUUGGUGAUCUCUCCGGUUUCCAUGGAAACUGCUAUGGCCUCAGAGAACCAGAGCAGCUUGGAGCUGCGGGGGCAGGACCUGGGGGGCCACCCUGCUGUGCAGCUUGGAGACCGCGGACAUGAUUUCACAGCUCAGCUUAUUAGAGACAGCUGCAAUGCUCCUAGGAGGGCUGACCACCCCUCUCCCCAGAGGCUAACGCUGCUGCUGAGACUUGGGCUCUGCAGAGGUGCCCCGCCACCCUGGCUGGGGAGGACGAUGACACGAGAGGAGCGGGGAAGAGGCAGCGUAGUGUGCUGAGGUUUGCUUGGAGCUUGGGCCAGGGGAUGAAGGAGCCAAGGGGCAGGUGGUGCAGGCCGCCAGCAGGAGCCGGGCCUGAGCUGCAGCCUGAGGAGAGGGAGAGAGGAGGGUGUGGUCAACAGGUGUGUUGGGGUGCCAGGCUGGGAGGUGGGGAGGAAGCCCAGGCCAGGGUCAAGAGAGGUGUGGAGUGCUGGGCCCCACGGGCUCGUUCUUGAGCACUCAGGCCUUGGGUCCUGGAUGGAGAGGCCCAGUGGGGGCAGAGGGCAGAUGAGGGUGCAGAGGCUGAGAGGCAGAGGCCACCAAUGAGACCGAGAUCCCCGAGGCUGCACGUCACAGCACCUGUCCACCCAGAGCUCUGGUCACCUGCUAAUGGCAGGACCCGGGGUGGAGAACGUAUGGAGCGCUGUCAGAGAGCAAUGGGGGAUGUUGGUGGCCUAGGAUGAUGGUGGACAUUUAGGAAUGUUGGGGCCAUUGGCCUUCAGGUCUCUACAAAAGUGGGGUAGGGUUGCUCCACACCAAGGGCCAGAGCCGCAUUCAGGGGCUUGGGUCUCUGGAUCCCUGUCCCUGGCCUCCAUGUGGCCUAUGGGGGAUGUCAAGCUCACUCAUUUCUUUUUAAUUUUUUUUUUAUCAAGCUCACUCAUUUCUGCCCUUUCCUGGCAGAGAAGGGGGGCACAGAGGACCCUUAGAGCACAGAGGAGUAAUGCUUGUCUUGGGGUGGGGAUAGAGUUAAUAAGGAAAGAUAGGUUCAACUGAGUGUUCUCUGUUAACAUUUAGGGAAACCAUGUGUUUUAAAAAGAGGUGCCCCAGAAAGUGGAAGGUGGAGUUCGGUGGGCAGAGCCCGAGGACAGUUGCACCAGAAGGAACUGGAACACCUCUUGAAUGAUUUUUAUUCUGAUUACGUGCUAAAGUGAUAUAUUGGGUGUUUGAGGUUAAUUAAAAUAUUUAAGUUA